CCUACGGGAGGCUGCAGUGAGGAAUAUUGGUCAAUGGGCGUAAGCCUGAACCAGCCAAGUCGCGUGAGGGAUGAAGGUUCUAUGGAUCGUAAACCUCUUUUAUAAGGGAAUAAAGUGCGGGACGUGUCCCGUUUUGUAUGUACCUUAUGAAUAAGGAUCGGCUAACUCCGUGCCAGCAGCCGCGGUAAUACGGAGGAUCCGAGCGUUAUCCGGAUUUAUUGGGUUUAAAGGGUGCGUAGGCGGCCUUUUAAGUCAGCGGUGAAAGUCUUUGGCUCAACCAGAGAAUUGCCGUUGAAACUGGGAGGCUUGAGUAUGUUUGAGGCAGGCGGAAUGCGUGGUGUAGCGGUGAAAUGCGUAGAUAUCACGAAGAACCCCGAUUGCGAAGGCAGCCUGCUAAGCCAUGACUGACGCUGAUGCACGAAAGCGUGGGGAUCAAACAGGAUUAGAUACCCUUGUAGUC
rnacentral:rRNA from 1 species